AGGUAGAUAGGCAGCGAGAUUGGCACACAAAGACACUCUAGGCUACAGACCCCCAGGUAGAUAGGCACACACAGACACUCUAGGCUGCACUCUCCAUGGAGAUAGGCACACAGAGACACUCUUGGCUGCACGUCCACGUAGAUAGGCAGGGAGUUAGGUAGGGAGAUAGGCACACCGAGACACUCUAGGCUGCACUCACAGGUAGACAGGCACACAGAGACACUCAAAGCUGCUCUCC